CUUUGCAGCUGGGGCAAUACUUCUGGAUCGGGAGCAACUUAUCAUGGAGGACCUGGUAUUAGAGGACACGUUGACAACAUAGAAUAAUACAGAUAAACUCCUACUUCUAGAAACCAAGAGGAGCAACAAAGCCAAAAUAUAUUAGAGGAAUUUGAAGAGGAAGAACUAUAAAGUCAGGAGGGGGAAAAUUGCCAGAAACAGUAAGUUCCUCUUCAAAGUUUCCUUGGUCUUUCUUGCUCUAUACGCAGCCCUUCCUGCUUAAUCAGGAAGGAGCACUUGUUUCUCUGUUUAAUGGGUAACUAGCAAACCUCUUACUUGGUAAACAACCCUUCCCGCCUAGUUGGUAAUGGACAGCCUCUCCCUUCCUGCCUAAUUGGCCUUAUUCAAUUUCAAGCACUAGUCAAUUGGGUCAGCUUAGACUGUGCUGUCCAACUCCAGCAAAUGGGGAAAGGACACAGAAACAGAAACUGUGUUAGGGAUAAAAACCCCUGCUCUACCCGGCUUGAUGUGCUCUUGGGAUCAGUCAGACGCAAGCUGUACCCUUCUGCAGAAGUAAAUGUGCCUUGCUGAGAAAUUCUUUGUUUAAGUGGUGGUUUUUCUUUGCAGCACUGAACACUUGUUUCUAACACCUGGGGGGCAGAGGUUGUGGUGAGCCGAGAUCUUGCCAUUGCCCUCCAGCCUGGCGCCAUGGCUCACAUGGGAGGCUGAGACAGGCAGAUCACUUGAGCACAGAAGUUCGAGAUCAGCCUGGGCAACAUUGGCAAAACCCUGUCUCUACAAAAAAUACAAAAACUAGCUGGGCAUGGUGGUUCAGGCUUGUCAUCCCAGCUACUUGUGAGGCUGAGGUGGGAGGAUAACUUGAGUCCAGUAGGCAGAGGUUACAGUGAGCUGGGAUCAUGCCAUUGCAUUCCAGCCUGGGUGACAGCCAGACUCUGUCUCAAAAAAGAAAAAGAAAAAGAAAAAAAAGUGGUGGAAUCUCUUACACCAGUAAGGGGGUGUACCUUUUUGCAUGCUUAAGAUCUUCUAUUUUCUUUUCUAUGAGCUGACUGCUCAGAUCCUUUCCCCAUUGGCCUUUUUGAAUUGUUGAUCCUUUGUAUUUGCAUCCCUAACCUACUUGUUCUAGUCUAUGAUUUCAGUUACACAUCCAACUUUUGUUUUUUUAAGAUGGCUAACCAGUUGCCUCAGCAUCAUAUAUGGAGCAGCCCACCUUUUCAUCAGUCUGAGAUGCCACUUUUAUCAUAUAAUAAAGGCCUCAUAUAUACUUAGGUCUAUUUCUGAAACUUUCUUUUAAACAAAAGAGCCUUCUGGUAUCAUGGCUGUUUUUUAAACUUUUGAUUGAUUGUGUACCUACCUUUGUAUACCUACCUUUGUGUACCUGUGAACGUGGCCUUGUCCGUGUGGUUAGCAAGGAGCAUGUGUUCCAUUCCUCCUCUGGCUGCCCUUCAACACCAUCCACUGCUCACAAUGCUGCCAGGGAAGCCUGGGCACCUCCAGAGGUGCCAACCUGACCAUGCCAAGGCUGCCAACUCCAGGUGCUUCUAAGGUUUUCAGUCCUUGGGCACCAGGAGGCUGCCAGGUUUCCUGCCAGCUGAGGAGAGCAGCCUAUUCAACUAUUCAACCUAUGCAACUCCAGGUCCUGCUAUUUCUGUUUUUCUUGGCCCUGAUUGCACUUCAGUUUUCGCCCUGUCUUCUG
rnacentral:lncRNA from 1 species